UAGAAUGAUGAUUUGUUGUGGGCCAC
rnacentral:sRNA from 1 species